rnacentral:lncRNA from 1 species
AAAACCCUCAAUUGAACCCUUGGUCGCUAAAUCAUGUGACGAUAGAGAAUUCAUAUUCAACAUGAAAUUGGAGAAGUGGAAAAUAUGGCAAAAACCAGCCAAAUGCUAAGCGAAACAGAAAGUUUCAUUCUCGCUGCAGUAAAAGGCAUUCUCGGUUUGCAUAUAGUUCAGUUUUUCAAGCAUAUCUUCCACUACAUGGGUCCAAUUGACAUGCUUGUUAGGUCAUUAGAAAGCUAAGAGGAAGGGCUACGACUUUAGUGUUUACCACUU